CCUGGGCUUCAUUAUUAGCCGACUUUCUACAGUGAUUGGCUACCCUCUGAAUCUCUUCCAGACUUCUUCCGGCCACGAACGACUUUACUCCGAACUUCUUUCGAACUUCAUCAAUGUCCGAGCUUCUCCAACAGUAGGACUUCUACCGAAACCAGACUCCAUCCAAGUUUCUAUGAUGAUCAACCGCCCUUCGGAUUUCAUCCAAGCUCUUACAAGAGUCAGAUCCCAGCCGAAUUCCUACAGUGGAUGGAUUACAGACGAACUUCUACUGCAAGCUGUCUACUCCGAACUUCUACUACAAGUGAUUUACUCCGAACUUCUACUGCAAGCGAUCUACUCCAAACUUCUACUGCAAGCAGUCUACUUCAGAUCUCUACUGUAAGUGAGUUCCAUCCGAGCUUCUACUGUAAACGAAUUCUUUUUGAACUUCUAUUACAGGUGGACUUCAGCCGAGCUUCUUCCAUAAGCGAUCCCCAUCUGGACUUCUAUAAGAAUCAGACUCCGUCUGAACUUC
rnacentral:lncRNA from 1 species